rnacentral:lncRNA from 1 species
AUCAGUUAACAUGUUUUAUUUAUAGGUUGAACACUUUCAGAAAUUUAUUUAUGUUUAAAUGACACACAGUAAACAUUAAUACAAAUACAAAUUUAUUGAGAAACACACAUUAGGCCAGGUUUUAUUUAAUCUAAAGGCCAUUGUCCCCCAAAUUAUAUCCAUAUAUUGGGUGAUCAUGUGUUAUAAAUUCAACUUUCUUAAGUUUUAGUGUACGUCUUAAGCUUCUGGCUCACUCCAAUUUCUUGUUCAUUAACUUCAAUUCCUUGCUGAUCACUCUUCUUGACAGAUACCUCUUUGUUCUCACAAAGAAACUUUCUAAACCAAACUGCCGAUUUUUUCGGGUAUCUUUGCAAGUCAUCCUUGUAAUCGACGUAGAUCAUACCAAACCGGAGAUUAUAUCCGGAACUCCAUUCGAAACUAUCCAUGAAUGACCAAACAAAGUAUCCCGUCACAUUUACAUUCUUACUUCUUGCGGCUUUGAUGGCUUUAAGAUGUUGUUUUAAGAAAUUAAGUCGAAAUUUAUCAUCGAGGGCUUCUUCGUGAGUUAUUCCAGGAUCAUUCUUAUCAGGA